AAACUACAACUCCCAAUUUUCAUAGCAUUGAACCAAGGCAGUUAGUGCUUUCAAACAGUAUAGACAGUUGUUGUGGUUUUCCAGGCUGUAUGGCCAUGUUCCAGAAGCAUUCUCUCAUUGAAUGGCCCCAGGCAAGAAGCAGCCAGGCUUUGAAGCUGGAAAGCCAUUCAAUGCUAAUCAGGGUGGUCAAUUGCAACAUUCACACUUGCCUCCAACAGACGAGAGUUCCUUAUCCCACCCUGGACCUUCCACAGAUAUUUAAAUCUCCCUUGCCUAGUUUCCAAUAUACCUCACAACCUGUGAGGAUUCCUGUCAUAGGUUUGUCAAGUCGCUUCUGGUGUGAGAGAAUUGGCCAUCUGUAAGGACGUUGCCCAGGGAUCUCCCGGAUGUUUUGAUGUUUUUACCAUCCUUGUGGGAGGCUUCUCUCAUGUCCCCUCACGGAGCUGGAGCUGAUAGAGGGGGCUCAUCCACGCUUUCCCAGGGUUGGCAACCGGCAACCUUCAGGUCAGCAACCCAACUUUCAGGUCAUCAGUCCUGCCGGCACAAGGGUUUAACUCCCCUGUGCCACCUGCCAUGGCAAACAAAGUGGUGUCAAACUGCAUUUUUAUACAAUCUAGAUGCACCCCAGGAACUUGUUUUGGCUACCAGGACUGAGUGGAGCCCAUUUUUUUCAUAAGAGUUUGCUUCUCAUCCCUUUCCAAGACCCAAAAUAUCUUUUUGAGACUACAAUCCACGUUCCAAUUCCAACUUCUGAGAAAACGACUAAACAAAACCUGGCGGGGAGAGGAAUAAAGCCGCCAAUUGGAAGCAUUCCCGAUUGGAAUCCGUAGGCUUCUUGGCAGAUUUCAGUGUGCUUGGGAUUAAGCUGCCCUUUGUUUCGUUCAGAACCGCCGCCCAGAGACGUUUCAUCCCAAAGGAGGAACGAACCUUGAACCCAAAGUCCAUUCUUCUCCUGAAAGUGGUUCUGUGUCAGUGUAGGUGAACGGUCUUAGUUCAAGGGGACCCCAGCCUGCAGGCUAACAGGGCAUUGGCAUAUAACGUAGUUCAGACUGCAUUACAUGGCAAUGUAGAUCCGCCUGUAUUGAAUUUAGAAGCAUGCAUAACCUAGUCCUGUGCUUACAAAUAAGCUCUAUUCAAGUGGGCUUUAGUCCUGAGUAAAAUACUAAACUUACGAACUAGUCAGAAAUUGGCACCCAUGGAACAGCAGCUAAGUAGAAAAACCUCAGGAUUAUUGCAAUUUGUUGUCGAAGGCUUUCAUGGAUGGAAUCACAGGGUUGCUGAGAGUUUUCCAGGCUGUAUGGCCAUGUUCCAGAACACUGUGAUACUUGAGAACACAGAAAUUCUGGACCACUCUAACAACCACCAUGUCAGACUGCACAGAGAAGCCAUGGAAAUCCACAAGCAUGUGGGCAAUUUCAACAGAAAGGAGGAAAACAUGAAAACAAACAAAACCUGGCUACCAGUAUUAAAAAAAAUUCUAGAAUCGGGACAGUAAAUAAAGAACAAUACUCAGAAAACAGAGGAACUCCAGACAGGAAACAAUCAGGGCCAACUAACACCUCCCAACAAAGGAUUCUCCCAGGCAGGAAGCAGCCAAGCUUUGAAGCUGAAAGCUAUCCAAUGCUAAUCAAGGUGAUCAAUUGCAACAGUCACACUUGCCUCCAACAGACAAGAGUUCCUUAUCCCACCCUGGACCUUCCACAGAUAUUUAAAUCUCCCUUGCCUAGUUUCCAAUAUACCUCACAACCUGUGAGGAUUCCUGUCAUAGAUGUGAGCGAAACGUCUAUACAGCCCGGAAAACUCACAGCAACCCACUUAUUGCAAUUUGACCCCAGUUUAACUGCCAGGCCUCAAUGCCAUGGGAGUCAAAGUAUGAUGAGGGAUCUUCACUCAUCCCCUUGAGAAGUUUCCAAAAAGCUUCACCUGCCAUGUAACGAAUUCCUUAUAACUUGCGUUCUUCUUCUGUAACGCUUUUAUGAAAUUGGGCGGAAGGUACAGGGAGAGUUACAUUGCAUUUCUGAGAUAGAUUCUCUUGUUGGUAACAAAACGAAAACAGAAACAAAUGUCUCCCUCUGAUUAUAUGUAUAUAUGGUCUUUUAACUGCUGUGUUGUAGACCUGUCUUGAACAGCGAGGAGAGGCGAGUAACGAAUUAUAUUAAUGAUUGUUACUAUUAAUAGAUCCUUUCCCCCUCACCAGACUGCAGUUGAUUUCCCAAACUGCUCCACGUUGUAAUUCGGCUGCAUUAUAUGGUCAGUGUAAACCCAUACAAUGCAGUUAAAUUGCAUACAAUCAUACAGAUGAGACUAUUUGCUGCUUAUUUUCAUGUUUUUUCAUCUAAUACGAAAAUGUAGUAGAUCCAUUGCCCGCUGAAAUAGAAACGCAACCGAAGUAGCGCUUCUCUCCCACCAAGAUCCGUCUCAAAGUAGUUCAGUCCAGUUCCUUCCACGUGAAUUUACGCGAGAGUAAAUUCUUCCAAUCCGGACGGUGUGACCAACCUCAAGUUUGGAAAUAUUGGGGCGAUCACACUUCUCUCUCUCUCUCUCCCUCUGUUUAUUGUUCUUGAUGCUGUACACACAAGCCAACAACAAACACAUAUAUGUGUAGCACAUUUUCUAUUUAAUGAUCUGGUUGAUGUCAUUUGCACCCCUGCAUCAAAUCCAUGAGGAACGGAAGGAGGUUCAUUCCUUUGAAGCUUUUUUAAGAUGUAGGACGCCAGCAGACUGUUGUUUUCCCUGUUGCAGACUGAGGCUGUUCUUUCCGCCCCUGGAAAGCAUUGCGUGGUGAUUGUGGCUAAUUGAUAAUGAUGGGAUAUUGAUCAUUGUGGAUAUUAAUGGCUAAUUUUCCCGGUUUUUUACCUGACUCAGAUCGAUAAAAAUCACUUCCAAAUUAGUUUGGUCUGAAGAACUGAAAAUGACGGGCUUGACUUGGGCUGAAAUUCAAAAUGUGUGCAAACGCUAGAACUCCGAACACCCAUUGCUUAUGAACCGAGGGAGCAUCCACACUGUUGAAUGAAAACGGUUUAGCUAUGGCUCCGUGGUAGGGGGUCCUGGGGGUUGUACUUUGGUGAGGGGUCAGCACUACUUGGCAAAGAAGGUUAAAGGGCUUUUAAAACUACAGAUCCUAUAAUUACAUAGCAUUGAGCCAUGGCAAUAAAAGCCAUGUCAAAUUUGUCAAAAUUGCGUUAUUCCUACAGUGUGGAUGAACCCUUAAUCUGCGUUCCCUUCCUCUCGUUCAAAGAUACCACAAGAUCUAGGUUGCUGUGAGUUUUCCGGGCUGUAUGGCCAUGUUCCAGAUGCAUUCUCUUCUCACAUUUCGUCCACAUCUAUGGCAGGCACCCUGAGGUUGUGAGGUCUGUUGGAAACUAGGCAAGCGGGGUUGAUAUAUCUGUGGAAAGUCCAGGUGGGAGAAAGAACUCUUGUCUGUUGGAGGCAAGUGUGACUGUUGCAAUUAAUAACCUUGAUUAGCAUUUAAUUGCCUUACCGCUUCAAAGCCUGGCUGCUUCCUGCCUAGGGGAAUCCUUUGUUGGGAGGUGUUAGCUGGCCCGAUUGAUUCCUGUCUGGAAUUCCCCUGUUUUUGAGUGUGGUUCUUUAUUUACUGUCCUGAUUCUAGAGAUUUUUUAAAAUACUGGUAGACACAUUUUUUUCAUUGUCAUGGUUUUCUCCUUUCUGUUGAAAUUGCCUACAUGCUUGUGCAUUUCAAGGCUUCUCUGUGUAGUCUGUCAUGGUGGUUGUCAGAGUGGUCCAGCAUUUCUGUGUUCCUAAAUAAUAGUCUGUGUCCGGGCUGGUUCCUCAAGUGCUCCGCUGUGGCUGACUCCUCUGACUGAGUGAGUCUGCAGUGCCUUCCCUGUCCCUUGGUUCGCGGCUGGGCAGUGCUGCUGAGUUUGGGGGUCCCUAUGAAGACUUGUCCACAGCUGCAUGAGAUACGGUAGACUCCUGCAGAGGUGAGAGGAUCCCUUUUGUCCUUUGCUGAACGUAGCAUUUGUUGGAUUGUCUUAGUGGGUCUGUAGAUAGUUUGUACAUUGUGUUUCUUCAUCAGCUUUCCUAUGCGGUUCCCUUGAUGUAGGGUACGAACACUUUUCUUCUGGGGGAAAGUUUGUCUUUACUCUCGUGGCUUGUUCUUGGUCUUGCUCAUGUAAAACUUCCUUGGAGCCUUUAGUGUAUCAAAAAGAAGAGUUUAGGCACCGAAAGAAAAGGGAGCAGGCACAGGUUAGGAGGUGAGCAAUUUUCAAAAUCUCGCUCUCUGCAAUAUUAGAAACUUAAGAUAUUUUCUCUGGAAGGGCAACAUUUUUAUUUGGAGAAGGCAAACCUCCCACUUAAGUCCAGGUCUGUUUGAAGCGGUCCAAAUUAAAAUCUUUUAUAAAGAUUUAGCUAUUAUAUAAAAACACACACAGUCGUGACUCCUGCAUAUAAUGGUGUGUACGACCCUGCCUUGAUUUCUGGGGGUGGAAGAGUAGGAAGGUGCCUAAUGUAUUAUUAUUAUUAUUAUUAUUAUUAUUAUUAUUAUUAUUAUUAUUAUUAUUAUUUACACAACAAGAUCAGUACACAGCAAACAAUGCUGGCUGUUGUAUUGGAUCACACGUCAGGAAACGUCCCAAGUGUCUAGGACUAUAAUAUAAUAACAAUAAUAAUUACUAUAAUAUAAUAAUUGCUAUAAUAUAAUAAUAACAGUUACUAUAAUAUAAUAUAAUAAUAAUUAGGUAAAGGUAAAGGUUUCCCCUGACGUUAAGUCCAGUCGUGUCUGAUUCAGGGGGUUGGUGCUCAUUUCCAUUUCUAAGCUGAAGAGCCGGCGUUGUCUGUAGACUCCUCCAAGGUCAUGUGGCCGGCAUGACUGCAUGGAGCGCCGUUACCUUCCCGCCGGAGCGGUACCUAUUGAUCUACUCACAUUUGCAUGUUUUCGAACUGCUAGGUUGGCAGAAGCUGGAGCUGACAGCGGGCGCUCACUCCGCUCCCCGGAUUUGAACCUGGGACUUUUCGGUCUGCAAGUUCAGCAGCUAAGUGCUUUAACACACUGCGUCACCGGAGGCACCAAUAAUAAUAGUUACUAUAUAAUAAUUACUACAAUAUAAUAAUUGCUAUAAUAUUACAAUAGUUACUAUAAUAUAAUUAUAAUUGCUAUAACAAUAAUAACUAUAAUAUAAUGAUGAUGAUAAUAAGGUUUAACACGGCUUGGAAGCUGACCUUUCCCAAAGGGUUGCCUUUACCUCCCAACCCAGAGGCGCCUUGGUUGGUUUUUCUCCAAAGCGUUAAUGGUUUUGCAUUUUAGGAACAAGGGAAAAAGAAGGCAAGGGGGGAAAGAGCCCUUCGCGAGGGGCUUGUAACGCCCCCAGGCUGCCCCUUCAUUAAAUCACCCCCGAAGAGGCGAGGUAUGUUAACGAUUAACUCGUUUUCAAAGGAUUAAUCUCCCCGUUUCGGAGUGGAAAUGUUUGGCGGUGGUUUCCAGGCGGGGACAUCAAUCACCCGGCCUCGCGAGCCCAUUAAUGUCCAUUCCCAUCGGGAAGGCGACCGGCUUGAUUGGGACGGGACUGGCUUCCAUCGGGCCCAGGAGCCGCAAAAGGCGUUUCGAAGCCAGCUUGCAGGCCGGGAUCGGAACCUCGCCUUCCCUGUAGACGGGGAAAGAAACCCCAUCGGAUCUGUUUUUCUACUAGUUGCAAAGCGGAAAGAAGAGCAGGAAGUCUCCCAAUGGCUGCCUCCAUCUCGCUCGCGUUGGGAGGCGAGGAAAUCAGACUGGGUUUCCCUUCUCCUGCUUGGGUCCUUCCUUGGGCGAAACCCUCCCCGACCCAGGACGAGGUAGGAAACAUUUGUUAUCCAUUACUGGCCCCUUUCUCUUUGGGAAUUGGAGAGGGCGGGGAGGAAAAGAUUGGGCACGAUGGAGUGCAUCUGCACUAGAAAAUUAAUUCAGUUCGACGUCGCUUUAACUGUCGCGGCUCAAUGCUAUGAAAUACUGGGAACUGCAGUUUGGUGAGGCAUCCUUUGACGGAAAAGACCUUGAAAAACUACAACUACCUUGAGCCCUGCCGGUUAAGGGGCAAAAGCAUGAUCGGGUUGCUGAUAGUCUUUCGGGCUGUAUGGCCGUGUUCCAGAAGCUUUCUCUCCUCACCUUUUGCCUGCAUCUGUGGCAGGCAUCCUCAGAGGUUGUGAGGAAUCAUGAUCGAUUUUUAUUUGAUUUGUAUACUUUCAGGAACUGACUAUAACAUGAUAGCCAAGGUAAGCUUCUUACGCUAUGCCUGCAGGCGAAAGGGAGAUUUGGAGAACUACACCUUGGAACUACACCUUGCAGCAUCCUCCAGCAAGUACCUAGCCAGAUGGCUGAGAACUUCCAUAUAAUAUUUUUUCCAAAAUCUAGAUGCACAAAAAAACUUUCCAUUAAGUAAGGUAACAAGACCGUAUUUUUAAAUAUGUCUGCGGUAUGCGGAUUUAGUUAUUAGCAUAAUUGUUUAAGUCUGCGUAGCUGUGAGUUUUCCGGGCUAUCUGGCCAUGUUCCAGAAGCAUUCUCUCCUGACGUUUCGCCUGCAUCUGUGGCAGGCAUCCUCAGAGGUUGUGAGGUUUGCUGGAUACUAGGCAAGUGGGAUUUAUAUAUCUGUGGAAGGUCCAGGGUGGGAGAAAGACCUCUUGUCUGUUUGAGGCAGGUGUGCAUGUUGCAAUUAAUCACAUUGAUUAGCAUUGAAUGGACUUGCAACUUCAAAGCCUGGCUGCUUCUUGCCUGGGGGAAUCCUUUUUUGGGGAGGUGUUAGCUGGCCCUGAUUGUUUUCUGUCUGAAAUUCUCCUGUUUUUUGAGUGUUGCUUUUUACUUACUAAUAAUAAAUAAUAAUAAAACUUUAUUUAUAUCCCGCCACCAUCUCCCCAACGGGGACUCGGGGCGGCUUACAUGGGGCCAUGCCCAAGACAGUACAAUAUAACAAAAUAUAAAAACAACAUAUCAAAAUACAAUUAAACAAUACAAGAAUAACAAUGCACAGUACAGAACAAAAUCAAAGCAAAAGCAACAUAACAUAACAAGGGCGGGCCGCAUGGACACAAAGUUAAAACUCGGGUAAGAAAAGAUAAGAAUAAAACCAUGGGGAACAGGAACAUGAGAUAGUGAAACAGUCUAGAGGAUAGAUGUUGGGGGGAGUAACAAAGGAGGUAUAUAACAGUUACUCUCCGAAAGCACACCGGAAGAGCCAUGUUUUACUGCCCUGAUUCUAGAACUUUUUAAAUACUGGUAGCCAGGUUUUGUUCAUCUUCAUCACUACUAGUAACACCUCCCAACAAAGGAUUCCCUCAGACAGGAAGCAGCUUUGAAGCUGCAAGGGUAUUCAAUGAUAAUCAAGGUGAUCAAUUGCAACAUUCACACUUGCCUUAAACAGACAAGAGUUGCUGUGAGUUUUCCGGGCUGUAUGGCCAUGUUCCAGGAGCAUUCUCUCCCGACGUUUCACCCACAUCUAUGGCAGGCAUCCUCAGAGGUUGUGAGUUCUGUUGAAAACUAAGCAAGUGGGGGUUUUAUAUAUUGGUGGAAGGUCCAGGGUGAGAGAACGAAGUCUUGUCUGUUAAAGGCAAGUGUUUAUGCAGCCACCUUGAGGAAAGGAGGAAACCAUGAAAAUGAACAAAAUCUGGCUACCAGUAUUAAAAAACCCUAAAAUCAGGACAGUAAAUAAACACUCAGAACACAGGAGAAUUCCAGCCAGAAAACAAUCAGGGCCAGCUAACACCUCCUAACAAAGAUUCCCGCAGAGAGUAAGCAGCCAGUCCUUGAAUCUGCAAGGCCAUUUAAUGCUAAUCAAAGUGGCCAAUUGCUACAUUCACACUUGCCUCCUACAGACAAGAGUUCUUCUCCCACCCUGGACUUUCUGCAGAUAUACUCGUAUAAACCACUCUUGCCUAGUUUUCAACAGUCCUCACAACCUCUGAGGAUGUCUCAUCACACUUGAGCAUUGACCCACUUUAGUCCAUUUUAAAUGCUGUUACUGCCUCCCUCGGAGUUCUGGGGUUUGUAGUUUAGGGAGGCCCAGGGCUUCUCUGAAUGAGCAGUUCAAAGGCCCCUCCCUAAAUUACACCCCCCAGAACUCUGUAGGAGGCAGUCACAGUAUUUAAAGCGGAUAAAUUUCCAAGUGUGAUGAGGCCCUAUAGAUGCAGGUGAAACGUCAGGAAUGAAUGCUUCUGGAACAUGGCCAUACAUCCUGGAAGACUCACAGCAACCCAGUGAUUCCGGCCAUGAAAACCUUCGACAACACAUUAAAAUAAAAGUCACUUGAACAAGGCUUUCUUUCUGAAUGGGGAAGACGUUUUCUCUUUAAGGAAGGAGAUACUCCUGUCUCUUGCCAUCUCUGCCCAUCCCUCCUCCUCCUCCUCCUCGAUGCUGAGGACUUGUUCAAUGAAAUAAUUUCCCCGUGGGAUCCAGUCCAAGCCAAUCCUCUUCUCGGGACUCCCUCCAGUGGCUGAUUUCUCCUCCAGAUCUCAGGUGUGUGGGCAGGUAGGGCAGGGAGCGGGCUCAUCCCCCCUCCACAUCCGCAGCGAUAAGAAUUGGGGGUGGAUGGGGAGGCCGGGGCAAGAGAGCUCUCGCCAGGGAACUUGAACGCACAGGGCCCUGCCACAUAGCCUACAUCCCAGAAUAUCAAGGCAGGAAAUCCCACAAUGUCUGCUUUGAACUGGGUUAUCUGAGUCCACAUUCAGAUAAUGAGGGAUUUUCUGCCUUGAUAUUCUGGGAUAGAGGGCUGCGUGGAAGGGCCCAUACUCCACAAAUAAACAGGGAUUUGUUGUUGUUGUCGUCGUCGUCGUCGUCGUCGUUGUUGUUGUUUUGCAGGGCCAAAAGCACCAGACUGGGCCUGAUCUUGGAAUCUAAGCAGGAUGGAUUUAUGUCUUUCAUAAGAGUCCGAUCAGAACAGGGCAAAAUGCCACCUGGGAGGGAUUUAUCCCUUGAAGCCUAAACACAAAGGCCUUGAGGAGAGUCGGGUAAGAAUUAAAAAUCAUAGUCAUCAUCAUCAUCAUCAUCAUCUCUGAGACCGGCCACCCGCCUCCUGGACCCGGAGAGAGGUCGCCAUCGCCCCCUCGCCGUCCCUCGGUCUCCCUUCCUCCCCUCACCCCUCUCUCUCCGUUUGCUUCCCCGCGGAUCUCAAUCGGGGUCCUUGAUCUGCCCUCGGAGCCUCGCAAAGACACCGCGGCGAGUCUGGGCCGGACGCCUCGCCUCGGAGAAGGAAGAGGAAGCCGAGGAGUCGUCGGUCGGCCUGGCCUUCAAGAGCCGCUUUGCCUCGAGGCAGAGGGGCGGGGCGGGGGGGGGGUGUUCACACAUGCAGGGCCUGACACGGGAGAAGACUUUCAAGGGAAAACCAUUUUUUAAGACCCAGAGCUUGAGGAACUCAGAAUCAUGGAGAUUUAGAUGUGACUCUCAAGGGCUAUCCAAUCCAACCCCUUUCUUCCAUGCAAGGAUAUACAACCAAAGCACUUCCAACAGAUGGCCAACUAGCCCUUGUUAAAAAUAACUUCCAGGGAAGGAAACUCCCCCACACUGGGGGCAGCAUAUUCUUUUGGUGAACAACUCUUAUGUGGAGUCUCUUGACCUGUUGUGUUGUCCAAGGUUUGCAUGGCCGGAAUCACUGUGCUGCUGUGUUGUGCUGCUGUGCUUUCCGGGUUGUAUGACCAUGUUUCAGAAGCAUUCUCUCCUGACAUUUUGCCCACAUCUAUGGCAGGCAUCCUCAGAGGUUGUGAGCUCUGUUGGAACACUAGGCAUGUGGGGUUUAUAUAUCUGUGGAAUAAUGUCCAGGGUGGGAGAAAGAACUCUUCUCUGUUGGAGGCAAGUGUGAAUGUUACAGUUGGCCACCUUGAUUAGCAUUUAAUGGUAUUGCACUUUCAAGGCCUGGCUGGUUGCUGCCUGGAGAAAUCCUUUGUUGAGAGAUGUUAUUCCUGUCUGGAAUUUCCCCGUUUUUUAGUGUUGGCCUUUAUUUACUGUUCUGAUUUUAGAAGUUUUUAAAGUACUGGUAGCCAGAUUUUGUUCAUUUUCCUGUUAUUUGAAUGCAUUGUUCUAUGUCUUAGUCUCUGGAGCAUCAGAAAGCAAACAUUUCCCCUUCUCAAUGUGACAUAACUAUCAUCUCCCCUCUCAGCCUUCUGUAAGACAAAUAUACCCAGCUCCCAACUUGUUUUGGGGAAAACUGCUCCUGACUUCCUCACCUGGGAAGGCCUGGUGGGUGAGAGUUGUGGUUUGAAAAAGUAACAUUUAUAAAUAGGCUUUCAAGUUGUGGCUUCUUUUCCUAAUGGCUCUCCCGCCUAACCACUACCAGUCUACCCCUUCUCCUGCUGUUGGGUUCAUUUUUAAUAUAAUUGUUGGCUGUGGCUCUGAAAAUAUCUGAUAAAAUCUGGUUACAAGUAUUUUAAAAACUCUAAUAUCGGGACAGUAAAUAAAGAGCAACUCUCUUAAAACAGGGGAAUUCCAGACAGGAAACAAUCAGGGCCUGUUUACACCUCCCAACAAAGGAUUCCUCCAGGCAGAACUCAGCCAGGCCUUGAGGCUGCAAGGUUUUUCAAUGCUAAUCAAGAUUACUGAUUGCAACAUCCACACCUGCCUCCAACAGACAAGAGUUCUUUCUUCCACCCACCCUGGACGUUCCUCCUAUGUAUAAACCUCCUCUUGCCUAGUUUCCAAUAUACUUCAGAACCUCUGAGAAUGUCUGCCAUAGAUGGUGAAACAUCAGGAGAGAAUGCUUUAGGAACAUGGCCAUAUAGCCUGAAAAACUCACAGCAACACAGUGAUUUCUGCCAUGAAAGCCUUCCACAAGGCUAUGAGGAUAUAUUAAAGGUGGAACCUAAAGCAUCUUAAAUAUCCUAAAGGCAUUCCAUACCACCUCAUCUUGGAAACUAAGCAGAGCCAGCCCUGGUUAGGACUUGGAUGGGAGUCUGCCAAUUUCAGGUGGCAAAACCACCUCUGAAUAUUUUGGUUAAGCAAAUCCCAUGAAUUUCAUGAUGUUGUAUUUAUUAUCAGGCCAAAAAGGCCUGAGGUCUCCAUUUGCAUCACCUCUCUAAAUAAUAGGUCAGGCAAAUGUCUUAAACAGCCCAUGACUCCUGACACCAUCACUUUUGUCUCCUUUAUGAAUUUUGAACAUCUUUACCUGAUGAAAAAAAAAACAGUGAGUUUUGAAAGCUUGCACAAUGUGUUUUGCAUCUUUCACUUGACCAAAUAAAUGUAUUACCAUAAUGCA